rnacentral:lncRNA from 10 species
ACUGCGUGGGCGGAACCAAGAGCCUGGCGGGGGGUUCUCCUGAAUGGCGGUUCUCCCAGAACCUCCAGAGAUGUCACAGGCCCAGCACUGUGGCUCGUGGCUGACCGCGCCCUGGAGGGUCUCGCUGUGUUUAUCCUUGUGAGGUCCUUCUACAGAGCUUUCAAGGAAGACAGAGUUCAGCCUGUUUAUUGGGAAGACUUUAAUCCUGCUCAAGACAUCUACUGUGUCACCGUACCACUGUGGCCCAGCGCCUGGUGGAGUGAAUCCAGACCCCCAGGGGUGUCCCCUCCCCGCCUUUCUCCUGGUGUCUAGGGGCACCCAGAAACCCUCACCCCAGAUUAGACCAGCUCGUUGGCAACAUCCCUGAGACAGAAGAGAGACACAGAGAGAAGAGGCACAGAGGAGCCGGCCAUGGAGCGAUACAGCAGAAGCUGGAGGCGACGGGAGGAUCCUGGCCCAGAGCCUCGGGAGGGAGUGGGGGCCGUGUUCCAGAAGCCUGAGAGUCCUGCGUGUUGUUCUGAGCCCCUAAGGCUGGGGUAGCUUGUUCCAGCAGUCAUGGGAAACUGACACAUCCCAAACACAGCAGCACGAGAACAUAGGACUGAGACACCAUCCCCAUCACGCCCCAACACACGAAGACUGACGGUGGCGGGUGCUGCACAUCUCAGCCGGAGCUCUGAAGGCAUUUAGCUGAGCGCUGGCCUGCACCUGGAGAGAGUGAGAGACACCAGCCUCCACUGCCAGGAAGGCCCAGGGUCCUCAGGGACCAAGACGCAGGAGACGGCCGCUGCCAGGGUCCUCGGGACUUCUGUGUGGCCUUCGCUACCGGAGCCCUGAGGCGCCAUCCCCAUGUGCCCUUCGGGCUGGUCCAGGAGGAGGCCCUGCGGCGGCCACAGACUGGGGGGACAAAGCCCCAGGAACUCAGAACCUUGUGGGUUUUGGAAGAGGAGCCGCGCAGCAAGGUCCCGACGCCUGCAGGGAGCUGAACGGGGAGCCGCGCGAGGAAGGGAGUGCAGCAGACCCAGUACGCAAAUGCUGACCC